rnacentral:rRNA from 1 species
UUAAAGGUAUUUUCCGGUAGACGAUGGGGAUGCGUUCCAUUAGAUAGUAGGCGGGGUAACGGCCCACCUAGUCAACGAUGGAUAGGGGUUCUGAGAGGAAGGUCCCCCACAUUGGAACUGAGACACGGUGCAAACUCCUACGGGAGGCAGCAGUGAGGAAUAUUGGUCAAUGGGCGAUGGCCUGAACCAGCCAAGUAGCGUGAAGGAUGACUGCCCUAUGGGUUGUAAACUUCUUUUAUAAAGGAAUAAAGUCGGGUAUGCAUACCCGUUUGCAUGUACUUUAUGAAUAAGGAUCGGCUAACUCCGUGCCAGCAGCCGCGGUAAUACGGAGGAUCCGAGCGUUAUCCGGAUUUAUUGGGUUUAAAGGGAGCGUAGAUGGAUGUUUAAGUCAGUUGUGAAAGUUUGCGGCUCAACCGUAAAAUUGCAGUUGAUACUGGAUGUCUUGAGUGCAGUUGAGGCAGGCGGAAUUCGUGGUGUAGCGGUGAAAUGCUUAGAUAUCACGAAGAACUCCGAUUGCGAAGGCAGCCUGCUAAGCUGCAACUGACAUUGAGGCUCGAAAGUGUGGGUAUCAAACAGGAUUAGAUACCCUGGUAGUCCACACGGUAAACGAUGAAUACUCGCUGUUUGCGAUAUACGGCAAGCGGC